rnacentral:rRNA from 1 species
UACGGAGGAUCCGAGCGUUAUCCGGAUUUAUUGGGUUUAAAGGGUGCGUAGGUGGCCUGUUAAGUCAGGGGUGAAAGACGGUAGCUCAACUAUCGCAGUGCCCUUGAUACUGUAGGGCUUGAGUAUAGAUGCCGUUGGCGGAAUAUGACAUGUAGUGGUGAAAUACAUAGAGAUGUCAUAGAACACCGAUUGCGAAGGCAGCUAACGAAGCUAUAACUGACACUGAGGCUCGAAAGUGCGGGGAUCAAACAGG